AGAGUUUGAUCAUGGCUCAGAAUCAACGCUGGCGGCGCGCUUAACACAUGCAAGUCGAGCGAGAAAGGGAGCAAUCCUGAGUAAAGCGGCGUACGGGUGAGUAACACGUGGGUAAUCUACCUCUUAGUGGGGAAUACCCCUGGGAAACCGGGGACAAUACCGCAUAAGCCUGAGAAGGGAAAGCAGCAAUGCGCUGGGAGAGGAGCCCGCGGCCGAUUAGCUAGUUGGUAGGGUAAUGGCCUACCAAGGCGACGAUCGGUAGCCGGCCUGAGAGGGCACACGGCCACACUGGCACUGAAACACGGGCCAGACUCCUACGGGAGGCAGCAGUGGGGAAUCUUGCACAAUGGAGGAAACUCUGAUGCAGCGACGCCGCGUGAGCGAUGAAGCCCUUCGGGGUGUAAAGCUCUUUCGACAGGGACGAUAAUGACGGUACCUGGAGAAGAAGCUGCGGCUAACUACGUGCCAGCAGCCGCGGUAAUACGUAGGCAGCGAGCGUUGUUCGGAAUUACUGGGCGUAAAGAGUGUGUAGGCGGUGCUCUAAGUUCGGUGUGAAGUCUCCUGGCUUAACUGGGAGGGUGCGCCGGAAACUGGAGUGCUCGAGCGUGGGAGAGGAAAGCGGAAUUCCUGGUGUAGCGGUGAAAUGCGUAGAUAUCAGGAGGAACACCUGUGGUGUAGACGGCUUUCUGGACCAUAGCUGACGCUGAGACACGAAAGCGUGGGUAG
rnacentral:rRNA from 1 species